rnacentral:rRNA from 1 species
UAGUUGUACAGUGCGCGAGAGACGCGUGCGGCGGCGGAGUUAGUACGAUGCAGUACGACGGACGAUCAUCCUUUCGGGGGUGAGAGAGUGGCGAACUGGUGAGUAACACGUAGGUUAUCUACCCUCAAGACGGGGACAACCCAGGGAAACUUGGGCUAAUACCGGAUGUGAGCAACUUUUAGUGUUUGAAAGGUGGCGUAAGCUGCGUUCUUGGGGAUGAGCCUGCGUCCUAUUAGUUAGUUGGUGAGGUAACGGCUCACCUAGGCAAUGAUAGGUAGGCGGCCUUAACGGGUGGUCGCCCACACUGGGAUUGAGAUACGGCCCAGACUCCUACGGGAGGCAGCAGUCGAGAAUAGUCUACAAUGGUCGGAAGACUGAUAGUGCGACGCCGCGUGAACGAUGAAUCCCUUCGGGGUGUAAAGUUCUUUUAUAUGUGAGCAGUGCUUCUUAUAUUAACAGUAUGGGGAGAGAGAUAUUAGCAUAUGAAUAAGCAACGGCUAACUCCGUG